GAGGUGUGGCGGCGGCCCGACGGGUGUGUAAGACCGCUUCGAAACAAACGUACGGACGAUGAAAUUAGUACACCUCCCCACCCCCCGACCGCUAUACUCGAACCCAUCGAUUUUCAUAAUAAUUAGACGCUAAAAUCGUUCAAUCCAAUACCGUUCGGAGUCCGAUAUUGUUGAUACAGCGUUGUACCGACGACCGGCAUUGAAAUUAAAAUCGUUUUUUACGCAAUCAUCGACGGUAUGAUUCGCUGGACCUUGGGGUUUGAGAUCCCGAAAUUUCUUUAACGCGGCUCAUCGUUCGCGAUUUCGUACGCACAAUUGCGCAUUAUAACCGAAGGUUUAAUAUUAUUUGUCGGCCCAACUUAACCUAAUCGUUUUGCGUUUUUGAUGCUCCGAUGAGAACCGUAAACGGUCGGCGAAAAUCGGUUAAAUAAAAGUCGGAUCCGG